AAAUCUGCCCGAGGAUGGAGGACACAUGGAGGCUCUUCACCGGCGCCGCUGCUCGCUGGAGGAGGAUGGCAGAGCGCCGGUCCGUCUCAUCAGCUCAGGGGCCAUGAUGGAAAUGCUCAUUAUUAAACAGUGACUGAAUGCCAGGUGAUGUGAAGAGGACACCUGACACCUGAGCAGAGAGUGGGGAAAUUGACCUUUGUGAAGAAAUACAGCUCCUCUAAAGGGCCCAAGGGCGUGUUUCCAAAGGCAAAGAGAGUUAUUCAGCUCCAAGGACAUUGUGGGACUUGAAAGCAUCACUAGUUGAACAUAAACAAACCUAAAGCCCACAUAAAUUAAUAGGAUACAUACACAGGGACUUUUCAUUUUCAGUGAGCUGGCUUAGUUCCAGUGGUGUAAAGUACUUAAGUAAAUGAACUUUGUUACUUUGCUUAAGUAUUUUUUUGGGCUACUUUGUACUUGUACUAUUAAAAAUAUAAGCAACUUUUACUCCCUACUUGACUACAUUUUUGAUUGAAUAUUUGUACUCUUUACUCCACUACAUUUGAACGGACGCUUAUAGUUACUCGUUACAUUGUGAUUGUGCGUGACAAGUCGGGACUGAUGACCGUCCAUGGCCUUAUCUGAAAGAAAUGUUUUCAUUUGCCGAUAUGCAAAAUGCCUCUUACAGGAUGCAGUGUCUACUAUAAUAAGUGCUUUUAAGAAUUUAUCGGAAAAUUUGAGAAAACACAUUGAAGUAAGAGUCUAUUUA
rnacentral:lncRNA from 1 species